UGUGCAGAGCCCGCCCCUCGUUGCGAUUGGCCGGCUGUGCCGUCAGUCGUGGUUGUGGCGCGCUGAUUGGUGAGAGCGGGGCGAAGCACGGCCCCGCUGGCGGCCUGAGGGCGGCCCUGGCUGGGCAGCGGCGCCAUUGGCGGAGCGUCUGUGCGGGCCCGGGAGCGGCGGCAGCGGCCGGAGGCCGGGGAGGCGGCAUUGGCGGAGCUGGGAGGCGGCCCCGGCGCAGAUCAUUACAGGGCCGUGGACUUUCACCGAGGAAGAAGAGAGGAGGCUUCCUCAAACGACCAUCAGAGAGUAAAAGAAGACCCCCUAGCAACAGAGGGCGCAAGUGCAGAGUACACCCAGAAAUACCACGGACACGGAAGAAGAAAGAGUAUAAAAAGACUGUGGGAAGGGGGAAACAGUGUGAGCCGUAGGUGGAGCGCUGACUCUCCGGCUGCACCCAGCGCUGUUUGCUUGCCAUCGCUUGCUGUAAUCAAUAAAUUUCUGAUUGACUCUUGAAAGGCUGAACAAAUAAUUCGCCUCAGUUUAUAACAAUCUGGUGCCGUGACUCGGAUAAGCUCCUCACGGGGAGGUGCCGUCGCUGCCUUGGCAGCGGGCCCCGCUCAGGAGUCUUCCCUCUAGGACCCUUACCGACGAACCCAAAUUCGGUGGCAAGCAAAGAAUAGCCGGCAACCCCUUAAUCUUUGUGCACGAAGUCCCGGGCGAAGGCACAGGACUGUAUCAUUACAGGGCCGUGGACUUUCACCGAGGAAGAAGAGAGGAGGCUUCCUCAAACGACCAUCAGAGAGUAAAAGAAGACCCCCUAGCAACAGAGGGCGCAAGCGCAGAGUACACCCAGAAAUACCACGGACACGGAAGAAGAAAGAGUAUAAAACGACUGUGGGAAGGGGGAAACAGUGUGAGCCGUAGGUGGAGUGCUGACUCCCCGGCUGC